GGACCCCACAACAGGGCACAGCAUUGAAGGUGAGGUGACAAAAUAUGUCAAGAAAUGACUGACCUAAAAAACAAAAACCAUUUUUUUAAUGUUAAGAAGAAUUAGGAAAUAUACCAGGUUGCAAAUUCUAUUAAGAACCCCAGGACCAGCGCAUUUGGACACGAGUCAGUUAUUUUGCAAAGAGGUUUUCAUGAUUCCCUAAGAGAAGGGGU